UACGUAGGGGGCAAGCGUUGUCCGGAUUCAUUGGGCGUAAAGAGCUCGUAGGCGGCUUGGCAAGUCGGGUGUGAAAACUUCAGGCUCAACCUGGAGCGGCCACUCGAUACUGCCAUGGCUUGAGUCCGGUAGGGGACCACGGAAUUCCUGGUGUAGCGGUGAAAUGACGCAGAUAUCAGGAGGAACACCGGUGGCGAAGGCGGUGGUCUGGGCCGGAACUGACACUGAGGAACGAAAGCCAGGGGAGCAAACGGG
rnacentral:rRNA from 1 species